rnacentral:rRNA from 1 species
AGUGAACGCUGGCGGUAGGCCUAACACAUGCAAGUCGAACGGCAGCACAGUAAGAGCUUGCUCUUACGGGUGGCGAGUGGCGGACGGGUGAGGAAUACAUCGGAAUCUACUUUUUCGUGGGGGAUAACGUAGGGAAACUUACGCUAAUACCGCAUACGACCUACGGGUGAAAGCAGGGGAUAUUCGGACCUUGCGCGAUUGAAUGAGCCGAUGUCGGAUUAGCUAGUUGGCGGGGUAAAGGCCCACCAAGGCGACGAUCCGUAGCUGGUCUGAGAGGAUGAUCAGCCACACUGGAACUGAGACACGGUCCAGACUCCUACGGGAGGCAGCAGUGGGGAAUAUUGGACAAAGGGCGCAAGCCUGAUCCAGCCAUACCGCGUGAGUGAAGAAGGCCUUCGGGUUGUAAAGCCCUUUUGUUGGGAAAGAAAAGCAGCAGGUUAAUCCCCCGCUGUUCUGACGGUACCCAAAGAAUAAGCACCGGCUAACUUCGUG